UACCAUGACAGUGAAGACGGUAAAAAUUCUGUAAAACUUUUCUUUUAUAGUUUAGAAACUUGACUUACUAUAAAAAAGCUCUGACAAAAUUUCGUGCCAGCAGUCGCGGUUAAACGAUAAGAGCAAGUGUUAUUUAAUAACUAGGCGUAAAGAGUUCGUAGACGGUAAUUUUUAUUCAAAACCAAAGGACAAAGAUCGAUUUUGUAGUGUUUCUGAAAAUAUUUUUACUAGAGUUUUAAAGAAGUAAAUAGAAUUCUUAGUGUAGGGGUAAAAACUGAAGAUACUAAGAGGAAUUCCUAUAAGGCGAAGGCCUUUUACUAUUUAAAUACUGACGUUUAAAGACGAAGGCGUGGGUAGCAAACGGGAUUAGGCACCCCGGUAGUCCACGCAGACAAAGCUGAGUACUUUCAUUUUGUAAAAUAUGAAAUGAUGAUGGUAUCCUAAAAGUACUCCGCCUGGAGAGUAUAGUCGCAAGGCCGAAACUCAAAGAACCUGACGGGGGCCUUUACAAGCGGUGGAGCAUGUGGUUUAAUUCGAUAAUACGCGAAAAACCUUACCAGUUUUCGAUACUGUUUUUUGAAAUUAACCUUUCAUUUUAUAAGUAUUUUAGGUGUUGCAUGGCUGCCGUCAAUCCGUGCUGUGAGGCGUCUGGUUAAUUCUACUAACGGAUGUAACCCCUAUUUUUAGUUGUUGGUAUAAGUUUUUAUAUUAUACUCUAAAAAGCAUAGAUUAAUUAAUAGUUAAAGGAAGCUAGGGAUAAAGUCAAGUCGUUAUGGCCCGAUGAUAAGCUGGGCUACACACGUGCUACAUAGGUUAAUUCAAAAAGAUGCUAUUUCGUGAGAGGAAGCAAACCUUUAAAAUUAAUCAAGGUACAGAUUGUGGACUGCAACUCGUCCACAUGAAGGAGGAAUCGCUAGUAAUCGUAGAUAAGCACGCUACGGUGAAUAAGUUACAAGGCCUUGUACAUACCGCCCGUCACAUUGUGGGAGUUUAUUAGAUUUGAAGACUGGCUCCGGCUUUUUAAGAGUUUGAUAGAUAACCGUGAUGAAGUCGUAACAAGGUAGCUGUAGGGGAACCUGCGGCUG
rnacentral:rRNA from 1 species